UAAAUUUCUGUUAUUUAUAAACAUAUUAAUGUAUUAUUAUGUUGUUUUUUCCUUUUGUUUUUUGGUCUGUAGAAUUGAUCUAUUUCCUAAUUCUGUUUUUUUUUUUUUGAUAAGUCUAUUACCUAAUUCUGUUUUGAUGUCCUGGGAUCCUACUUAGAGUUGUGGAGGUAAUAACUAUCAAAAAAAAAAAAGAAGAAGAAGAAGAAGAGUUGUGGUAGUAACAACCUUACAUAUGUGAAGGGUGGGAAAAUCUAGAUGUAUCAUUUGAGUAUUUGGCUUGUUCUAGGUUUUCAUAUCCAUGUCUGUAGUUGUCUAAAACUGAUGAUGCAUUUGAUAUAUGCAUAAAACACACAUGACAUAUACAAAGAAAUGCCAAAAGGCAAAAA
rnacentral:lncRNA from 1 species